AAGGACAAAAUUAAGGGUGGAUGGUGGAUGCCUUGACACCAAAUGGCGAUGAAGGACGCGGCGUAGCUGCGAUAAGCCCCGGGGAGGUGCGUAGCAACCUUUGAUCCGAGGAUUUCCGAAUGGGGAAACCCUCCGCCACAAACUGGCGGAAUCCGCCCAAAUUUUUGGAAUUUUUGAAACUUGCAAAUAAAAAGAGGGAGAUAAGUUUUUCUUACCUCCCAAAAUAAGGGAAAACGCGCGACCGGAUUUGAACCGGCAACCUAUGUUGCAAACCCGUCGAUCGGGGGGAUGAACGGGCACCACAACAUCGCUCUAACAUUGAGCUACGCGCGCUUAUAAAAUAGCGGGGAGAGGCCGAAUCUGCAUCGGCGGCUUGAGUGGAGAACGGGGGUUGGGUUGUUCCCACUUCGUGACUCUCCCCAAAAAAAGGACCAAAAGCAGAUUAAUAAAAGAAAGACGCAAUGUCAAAUCCAAAAAUUUGGGCGGAAGCAAACCCGCUGAAUUGAAACAUCUUAGUAAGCGGAGAAAAAGAGAACAACAGUUAUUCCCCAAGUAGCGGCGAGCGAAAAGGGAGGAGCCCAAACCCGAUCCCGCAAGGGACUCGGGGGUUGCAAGGUAAGAGAGCUCACUAUCACGCUGACUAUGACGAUAACUUUUAGUCAUUGUUAUGGUCAGUGUUAUAGUGAAAUUGGUUACAAAUUGUUUGGUUAGUCAAAUCUCGCUGGAAAGCGGAGCCAAAGAGAGUGAUAGCCUCGUAGACGAAAACCAAGCAACCAAUUUCUUUUAUUCUUAAGUACCUCGAGGCAACUAAACUUCGAGGGAAUCUGGGAGUACUAUCUCCUAAGGCUAAAUACAUUUGGUGAUCGAUAGUGAACAAGUACCGUGAGGGAAAGGUGAAAAGUAGCCCGGUUAGGGCGGUGAAAUAGUACCUGAAACCAUCCACUUACAAGGAACCGGAGCCUUAUGGCUCCGCCGCAAGGCGGAGUCCGGGUGACGGUGUGCCUAUUGAAGAAUGAGCCAACGAGUUUAUGUAUACGGCGCGCAUAAAUCCUUAAACGGAUGUAUGCAUAGGGAAACCGAGUCUUAAUAGGGCGCCUCCGGCUUUAGGUCGGAGAAGUCGUAUGCGUAAGACCCGAAACCAAACGAGCUUGCCCUGGCCAGGGUGAAGGUUGCAGAAAUGCAGCUGGAGGCCCGCACCGGUGAGUUGUGCAACACUCUCGGAUGAGCUGGGGUAAGGAGUGAAAAGCUAAUCGAGUUUGGUAAUAGCUGGUUCUCUCCGAAAUAGUUUUAGGACUAGCCUCGCGUGUUUCUUUUUGGAGGUAGAGCACUGGAUGGUCGCGACAGGGAGAAAUCUCGCGCGACCAAUCAAACUCCGAAUGCCGAAAAGUUAAAAGCGCGGGAGUCAGACUACGGGGGCUAAGCUCCGUGGUCGCGAGGGGAAGAGCCCAGAUCGCCGUCUAAGGUCCCCAAAUUCAAGCUAAG
rnacentral:rRNA from 1 species